AUACGGAGGAUGCGAGCGUUAUCCGGAUUUAUUGGGUUUAAAGGGUGCGUAGGCUGUGCGUUAAGUCAGGGGUGAAAUGCCGUCGCUCAACGACGGAGCUGCCCUUGAUACUGGCGUGCUGGAGUACGGAUGCCGUUGGAGGUAUGAGUGGUGUAGCGGUGAAAUGCUUAGAUAUCACUCAGAACACCGAUUGCGAAGGCAUCUGACGAAUCCGUCACUGACGCUGAGGCACGAAAGCGUGGGGAUAGAACAGGAUUAGAUACCCUGGUAUUCCACGCCGUAAACGAUGAUGACUAACCGUCGGCGAUAGACAGCCGGUGGCCAAGCGAAAGCGAUAAGUCAUCCACCUGGGGAGUACGUCGGCAACGAUGAAACUCAAAGGAAUUGACGGGG
rnacentral:rRNA from 1 species